rnacentral:rRNA from 1 species
UACGGGGGGGGGGCAAGCGUUGUUCGGAAUUACUGGGCGUAAAGGGCUCGUAGGCGGCCAACUAAGUCAGACGUGAAAUCCCUCGGCUUAACCGGGGAACUGCAUCUGAUACUGGAUGGCUUGAGAUUGGGAGAGGGAUGCGGAAUUCCAGGUGUAGCGGUGAAAUGCGUAGAUAUCAGGAGGAACACCGGUGGCGAAGGCGGGUCUCUGGGCAACAACUGACGCUGAGGAGCGAAAGCGUGGGGAGCGAACAGG